rnacentral:rRNA from 1 species
UUUAGCAGCCAUAUCACCCUGCAACUCACAACUGGCAACCCAAUGAAGCCCAGCAGGUGUGAGCCUGGCCAGUACCUGGAUGGGAGACCUCCUGGGAAAAACUAAGGUUGCUGCUGGAA